UCUCGGUGUAAUCCCAGAAUUGAUGUUUUUUUCCCUCUGCACCCGGGGUGCUGCUGAUGUAUUUGUCUCUCCCUCCCAGCUCGGAAAUUAAAGCUUUCACCACUUUUCUUGCUGCAGAGGAACAAAUGUGCGUCUGAGAGGGAGAUUUACACUUUGCUUUCCUUUCUGGAAAUGGAGCGUGAUUUUCCAGUGACUGCAGAUGCUGGGCCUGUCCUGACGCCUUGAGAGGAGCUGCUGGGUGGGGAGAAGGAGCCCCCAGCCACCCACCCUCCCUGCCAGCUGCAGCAAACCAGGUUUUUGGACCCUCCCCAGAGCUGUGCCAAGGACAGCAAAGGUUUGGUGGAAGAAGCCCAGGCAGGCUCUGUGGGUCCCUGGGGUGGCUGCUGGAGCAAGGAGCCAGAGGCAUCAAAGCACAGGCUGACCUUCCCCUGCCUCCUGGACACUCCUCUCUUCAUCUUCUUACUGCUGAGGCUCCUGACAGCUUUGCACUGGCUGAUUUUCAUGCUCCCAAGUGCUCCCAGAGCUGGAUGAGAUUAAGUACUUUGCUACUGAGGAAGGUUGAAGAAACUCCAGAUUAUGCAGUGCAAUGGACUGAACUUAAUUAUUCCACAACGAAUUGAGCCAAACCAACAGACUCAAGGGCAGUUGCCUCUGCCAAAAGAAGAUUCCAGCAUAGGCUGCAGCUGAACAGCAGGCACACUUGGGUUUUAAUGCAGUUUCUCCCUUAGCAAAUGCUCUUCCUUUCCAAGCGUCUCCACUGACAGCUGUGCCUUUAUGAGACGCCUUCAAAACCAGGGGAUUUCAGGGCUCCUCUCUCCUGAUUGACAACAACUCGAUUUCCUUCAGGAAAAUCAAACAGGAAUGCUUGGGGCUCAUUUGAGUGGGGAGGAAUGAAGAAGAGCUGCGAGUGCUGCUGCUGCACUGGGCGCUCCUGCUCGGCAGUGUGGGCUUUCUCAGGAUGUGUCACCUUGUCAGAGCAGCGUGUUCCUCCAAACACAUCAGCUGGAGGAGUCGAGAGGAAUGAGUCAGGUGGCUCUGCCAGCCAUGCUGUGUGACUUGCUGAGCCUGCCGUGGAG